GGAAACGUGACCGAGCGGUUAAAGCCACCGGCCUUGAAAGCCGACGACGGGUAACUGUCCGUGAGUUCGAAUCUCACCCUUUCCGCCA
rnacentral:tRNA from 1 species